GGCUGCGUAGGCAGGGAUGCCAAUGGAGGGCAUGUCCAAUGGGUGAAUGUGUAAAGAAUAAAGAGGGUGAACAGGAUACAAGAUUGGAGAAAGGAAGAAAAAUGGAUACAGGAUGCUAUAGAAAGAUGUGGGUUAUUUAGGCUUUGAUAUGUUUUUUUUAUAUAUCAAUAAUAAUUAUUGAUGUGGUCCAAGGCAGAAAGUUGGGGUUGGGGGUAUGGAACAGAAUGACCAAAGGGAGAGACGUUGGAAAGAAGCUGGAGGUUUUUUUAGGAUGAUAAUGCUCUGAAUGUGGGGACCUUACAGAGUGUCUGAAAAGCAAUGUGCAAGAGGAAUUCAGGAGGGGGGCUUACAAAAGUGAUGGUGAUACAAGUGGGAAAUCAUGCUUCUUGUAGAAGUGAUAGUAAGUGGGUUACAAAAGGGCAGGGUACUUACUAAAUUGAUGGAAACUGUGGUAGAGAGGGGAAUCAGGGGUUCAUUUAAAUGAUACAGGAUGGAAUUCAGAUUCUUGAAGAAGGAAGCUGUUUUUUUUAUUGUAGAAGUGACGGAAAUAGGGUAAAGGAUUUUAACAAUUUAUGGGAAGUGAGCUGCAGUAGAAAAAUUGUUAUUUCUGAAUUGAUGGAAAGAGAGAUAUAUAAGGGUACUGAACUGGAUUUCUAGUAGAAUUGAUGGGGAGUGCAGAUAUAGGCUAAAAAGUUGGGGUACUUGAAUAAUUUAUAUGAAGUGGGGUACAGAGGAGGUAGGAGGUUCUUGCUGAACUGAUGGAGGAAUGGUGUGCAGGAGAAACAGUUAAUGGGGUUUUUAGAAUUUGGGGAAGUGGGGUACAGGAUGGCAGCUGAGGUUCCAGUGAGAUGAUGGGAGGUGGGGUACAGGAUAGAAGAUGGGGACCCUGUGAGAUGAUGGAAGGUGGGGUACAAGAUAGAAGAUGGGGACCCUGUGAGAUGAUGGAAGUUGGGAUUCCUGUGAGAUGAUGAUGGGAGGUGGGGUACAGGAUAGAAGAUGGGAACCCUGUGAGAUGAUGGAAGUUGGGAUACAGGAGGUUAGUUGGGGUUCCUAUGAGAUGAUGGAAGUUGGGGUACAGGAGGUUAGUUGGGGUAUUUAUGAGAUGAUGGAAGUUGGGUACAGAAUGUUAGUUGGGGUAUUUAUGAGAUGAUGGAAGUUGGGGUCCCUGUGAGAUGAUAGCAGUGGGGGUACAGGAUAGAAGUUCGGGUAUUUAUGAGAUGAUAGCAGUGGGGUACAGGAUGUUAGUUGGGGUUCCUGUGAGGUGAUGGCAGUGAGGAUCCCUGUGAGAUGAUAUUAGUUGGGGUCCCUGUGAGAUGAUGGAAGUUGGGGUACAGGAUGUCAGUUGGGGUUCCUAUGAGAUGAUGGAAGUUGGGGUACAGGAGGUUAGUUGGGGUCCCUGUGAGAUGAUGGAAGUUGGGGUACAGGAGGUUAGUUGGGGUCCCUGAGAGAUGAUGUCAGUUGGGGUUCCUAUGAGAUGAUGGAAGUUGAGGUACAGGAGGUUAGUUGGGGUAUUUAUGAGAUGAUGGCAGUUGGGGUACAGGAU